GAUGGGAAACAGGUUAAUAUUCCUGUACUUGGUGUUACUGCGAAGGGGGGACGGAGAAGGCUAUGUCGGCCGGGCGACGGUUGUCCCGGUUUAAGCGUGUAGGCUGACUUUCCAGGCAAAUCCGGAAAGUUAAGGCUGAGGCGUGAUGACGAGGCACCACGGUGCUGAAGUGACAAAUGCCCUGCUUCCAGGAAAAGCCUCUAAGCAUCAGGUAACAUCAAAUCGUACCCCAAACCGACACAGGUGGUCAGGUA
rnacentral:rRNA from 1 species